ACGCUCGACACCUACGGAGGCAGCAGUGGGGAAUAUUGCACAAUGGGGGAAACCCUGAUGCAGCAACGCCGCGUGAGUGAAGAAGUAUUUCGGUAUGUAAAGCUCUAUCAGCAGGGAAGAUAAUGACGGUACCUGACUAAGAAGCUCCGGCUAAAUACGUGCCAGCAGCCGCGGUAAUCUGAGCGGGCUGGCAAGGC
rnacentral:rRNA from 1 species